rnacentral:rRNA from 1 species
CGCGUGCACUGGUCCGGCCGGGUCUUUCCCUCUGGGGAACCGCAUGCCAUUCACUUGGUGUGCCGGGGAACCAGGACUUUUACUUUGAAAAAAUUAGAGUGUUCAAAGCAGGCCUAUGCUCGAAUACAUUAGCAUGGAAUAAUAGAAUAGGACGUGUGGUUCUAUUUUGUUGGUUUCUAGGACCGCCGUAAUGAUUAAUAGGGACAGUCGGGGGCAUCAGUAUUCAAUUGUCAGAGGUGAAAUUCUUGGAUUUAUUGAAGACUAACUACUGCGAAAGCAUUUGCCAAGGAUGUUUUCAUUAAUCAGGAACGAAAGUUAGGGGAUCGAAGACGAUCAGAUACCGUCGUAGUCUUAACCAUAAACUAUGCCGACUAGGGAUCGGACGAUGUUAUUUUUUGACUCGUUCGGCACCUUACACGAAAGUACAAGUUUCUGGGUUCUGGGGGGAGUAUGGUCGCAAGGCUGAAACUUAAAGAAAUUGACGGAGGGGCACCACCCAGGGGUAAACCGCAGUUUAAAACUCUGCCCCGCACAGCGGCUCCGCGAGGAGUUGGUGGACCGACCCUACUGAAAAAACAACCGCUAGUCGCUCCCCCGGAGCGGCGAUAUCCUCAAAUUGCGGGGAACCCUCGAAGGCACCCACUCCCAAGCGGCCCCCCGAAAGGGCGGCCGUGGCGGCGCGUAACUGCUCCGGUACGGGAAUAACGUGGGGCGCCAUGAGGCGACUCGCAG